UACAGAGGGUCCGAGCGUUGUCCGGAGUUACUGGGCGUAAAGCGCGCGCAGGCGGCGGUGCUGGCCCGGCGUGAAAGCCCCCGGCUCAACCGGGGAGAGUCGUCGGGGACCGCACCGCUUGAGGGCGGUAGGGGCCGGUGGAAUGCCUGGUGUAGUGGUGAAAUGCGUAGAGAUCAGGCAGAACACCUGGGGCGAAGGCGGCCGGCUGGGCCGUCCCUGACGCUGAGGCGCGAAGGCGUGGGGAGCGAACGGG
rnacentral:rRNA from 1 species